GCCUACGGGGCGCAGCAGUGGGGGAUAUUGCACAAUGGGGGGAACCCUGAUGCAGCGACGCCGCGUGGGUGAAGAAGCGCCUCGGCGCGUAAAGCCCUUUCAGCAGGGAAGAAAAUGACGGUACCUGAAGAAGAAGCCCCGGCUAACUACGUGCCAGCAGCCGCGGUAAUACGUAGGGGGCAAGCGUUAUCCGGAUUUACUGGGUGUAAAGGGGGCGCAGACGGCGAUGCAAGCCAGGAGUGAAAGCCCGGGGCCCAACCCCGGGACUGCUCUUGGAACUGCGUGGGUGGAGUGCAGGAGGGGCG
rnacentral:rRNA from 1 species